GACGAACGCUGGCGGCGUGCUUAACACAUGCAAGUCGAACGAAGUGGCGAACGGGUGAGUAACGCGUAAUCAACCUGCCCUUCAGAGGGGGACACCAGUUGGACACGACUGCUAAUACCGCAUACUGUAGCAGGGGUUUGCGUCUGCUUAGCUAGUUGGAGGGGUAACGGCCCACCAAGGCGAUGAUCAGUAGCAUGUCUGAGAGAAUGAACGGCCACAUUGGGACUGAGACACGGCCCAGACUCCUACGGGAGGAAGCAGGGGGGAAUCGUCCGAAAGUGACGAAAGUCUGACGGAGCAACGCAGCGUGAGUGAUGACGGCCUUCGGGUUGUAAAGCUCUGUUAAUCGGGACGCGGUACCGGAAUAGAAAGCCACGGCUAACUACGUGCCAGCAGCCGCGGUAAUUC
rnacentral:rRNA from 1 species